GCAGGGAUGGCCGAGGGGUCUAAGGCGCUAGACUCAAGCGAAAAGCUUCGUUGCGGUGCAAUGGCGAGCGUUCUAGUAUCGUUAUCGAUGCGUGGGUUCGAAUCCCACUUCCUGCA
rfam:Bursaphelenchus xylophilus, Ka4C1 (inbred line), WGS project CADV01000000 data, contig: scaffold01653.63